UACGUAGGGGGCAAGCGUUGUCCGGAAUUAUUGGGCGUAAAGAGCGUGUAGGCGGUCCGGUAAGUCGGCUGUGAAAGUCCAGGGCUCAACCCUGGGAUGCCGGUCGAUACUGCCGGACUAGAGUUCGGAAGAGGCGAGUGGAAUUCCCGGUGUAGCGGUGAAAUGCGCAGAUAUCGGGAGGAACACCUAUGGCGAAGGCAGCUCGCUGGGACGUUACUGACGCUGAGGUGCGAAAGCGUGGGGAGCAAACAGG
rnacentral:rRNA from 1 species